rnacentral:rRNA from 1 species
UGCUUCGGGCGGCAUGCCUAUACAUGCAAGUCGAACGAGCUUCCGUUGAAUGACGUGCUUGCACUGAUUUCAACAAUGAAGCGAGUGGCGAACUGGUGAGUAACACGUGGGGAAUCUGCCCAGAAGCAGGGGAUAACACUUGGAAACAGGUGCUAAUACCGUAUAACAACAAAAUCCGCAUGGAUUUUGUUUGAAAGGUGGCUUCGGCUAUCACUUCUGGAUGAUCCCGCGGCGUAUUAGUUAGUUGGUGAGGUAAAGGCCCACCAAGACGAUGAUACGUAGCCGACCUGAGAGGGUAAUCGGCCACAUUGGGACUGAGACACGGCCCAAACUCCUACGGGAGGCAGCAGUAGGGAAUCUUCCACAAUGGACGAAAGUCUGAUGGAGCAAUGCCGCGUGAGUGAAGAAGGGUUUCGGCUCGUAAAACUCUGUUGUUAAAGAAGAACACCUUUGAGAGUAACUGUUCAAGGGUUGACGGUAUUUAACCAGAAAGCCACGGCUAACUACGUGCCAGCAGCCGCGGUAAUACGUAGGUGGCAAGCGUUGUCCGGAUUUAUUGGGCGUAAAGCGAGCGCAGGCGGUUUUUUAAGUCUGAUGUGAAAGCCUUCGGCUUAACCGGAGAAGUGCAUCGGAAACUGGGAGACUUGAGUGCAGAAGAGGACAGUGGAACUCCAUGUGUAGCGGUGGAAUGCGUAGAUAUAUGGAAGAACACCAGUGGCGAAGGCGGCUGUCUAGUCUGUAACUGACGCUGAGGCUCGAAAGCAUGGGUAGCGAACAGGAUUAGAUACCCUGGUAGUCCAUGCCGUAAACGAUGAGUGCUAAGUGUUGGAGGGUUUCCGCCCUUCAGUGCUGCAGCUAACGCAUUAAGCACUCCGCCUGGGGAGUACGACCGCAAGGUUGAAACUCAAAGGAAUUGACGGGGGCCCGCACAAGCGGUGGAGCAUGUGGUUUAAUUCGAAGCUACGCGAAGAACCUUACCAGGUCUUGACAUCUUCUGCCAAUCUUAGAGAUAAGACGUUCCCUUCGGGGACAGAAUGACAGUGUGCAUGGUUGUCGUCAGCUCGUGUCGUGAGAUGUUGGGUUAAGUCCCGCAACGAGCGCACCCUUAUUAUCAGUGCAGCAUCAGUGGGCACUCUGGUGAGACUGCGUGACAACGAGGAGUGGGAUGACGUCAAUCAUCAUGCCCUAUGACUGGCUCCACGUGCUACAUGACGUACACGAGUCGGAGCUUGGCUAGCCUAUCUUUAAGCGACCAGUCGAUGAGCUCACUCGCCAUGGAGUGAAUCUGUAAUUCCGGAUCACAGCGCGGUAAUAGCUCUCCGGCCGUGUGAUAGCGUCUCUACAG